AGCUCCAAUAGCGUAUAUUAAAGUUGCUGCAGUUAAAAAGCUCGUAGUUGGAUUUCUGGUACGGCUCGCUUGGUCCGCCGCCGCUUUAGGUGUGUGAGUACCGGUGCGGGCCUGCCAUCCUUCCGGGGCGCGCGUCUACCCUUCACUGGGCCGGGCGCGCCACCCGGAUCGUUUACUUUGAAAAAAUUAGAGUGUUUAAAGCAGGCGCCGCCGCUCUGAAUACAUUAGCAUGGAAUAAUAGGAUAGGACUUGGGUUCUAUUUUGUUGGUUUCUAGGACCGAAGUAAUGAUUGAUAGGGACAGUUGGGGGUGCUGGUAUUCAGCGGCCAGAGGUGAAAUUCUUGGAUUCGCUGAAGACCAACUUAUGCGAAAGCAUUCACCAAGGAUGUCUUCU
rnacentral:rRNA from 1 species